rnacentral:rRNA from 1 species
UACAGAGGGGGCAAGCGUUAUUCGGAAUUAUUGGGCGUAAAGGGCGCGUAGGCGGCCUGCUAAGUAGAGGGUGAAAUCCUGCGGCUCAACCGCAGGGCUGCCUUCUAAACUGUCAGGCUGGAGCACGGUAGAGGCAGAUGGAAUUCCCGGUGUAGCGGUGGAAUGCGUAGAGAUCGGGAAGAACACCAGUGGCGAAGGCGGUCUGCUGGGCCGUUGCUGACGCUGAGGCGCGACAGCGUGGGGAGCAAACAGG